GUUAUUAUACAACCCUGAAUAACCAAAGAUCAUCUGGUUAAGGGUAAUCACUACAGAGGGAACAUAUGGUGUUUUUAAGAUUAUGUCACAAGCUGUAAUUCUUUUAACUCUGUUUGUAAAAUUAGGUCAUAUCCCUGAUUUUACAUAUCUUAUUCUUUUCUUCUCCAUGGGAACAAGACAUCUUUAAGUGUCCUCGGGUCUGGAAUGAUUUUGGGGUAAGCUACAUAGAAAGAUUAGAAGAAGAAAGAGGAGGAGGAGAGAGGAGAAAGGGGGUAGGAGGAAGAUGGGGGGUAGGAGGAAAUGGAAGGAGAAAGUAAUGGGGGAGGAAGAAGAGGAGGAGGAGGAGGAAGAGGAAAAGAGAGAGAGAAUUAAAAGAAUAACAGCAACAACAACACUCAAAGAAGAGCACUAAAGGAUGAUAGAACCUCCCUGCAAUACUAAAACACUGGCCUUAGGCUUGGAUGGUAAACUCACCUGGUGAUGUUUUCAAGAUGGCUGCCUAAGGGGACAGUUUGAGGCCAGGAAAGAGAGAAACUAAGAGACCCAUAUAAGCACCAAACUCAUGACCCUUGACUUAUCAUGGUCUUGCCAAAUGAGUUUUCAGGCUGCAGUGUCCUUACUAUUUGUCCUGUGUCGACAGAAACCACAGAACAAAGCAGGCUGCCUGACUGGGAGGCUGGAGUAGCAGAGGGGCGAGCCCAGAGCUGGGUACUGAAGGGAGUCACAU
rnacentral:lncRNA from 1 species